AUUUAUAUAGUUUAAUAAAAAUUUUAUAUUUUCAUUAUAAGGUUAAUAAAUAUUUUAUUUAUAAAUU
rnacentral:tRNA from 1 species